UACGGGGGGGGCAAGCGUUGUUCGGAAUUACUGGGCGUAAAGGGCUUGUAGGCGGUUUGUUAAGUCAGACGUGAAAUCCCUCAGCUUAACUGGGGAACUGCGUCUGAUACUGGCGAGCUUGAGUGCAGGAGAGGAACGCGGAAUUCCAGGUGUAGCGGUGAAAUGCGUAGAUAUCUGGAGGAACACCGGUGGCGAAGGCGGCGUUCUGGACUGCAACUGACGCUGAUACACGAAAGCCAGGGUAGCAAACGGG
rnacentral:rRNA from 1 species